rnacentral:rRNA from 1 species
UACGUAGGGUGCAAGCGUUGUCCGGAAUUAUUGGGCGUAAAGAGCUCGUAGGCGGUUUGUCGCGUCUGCUGUGAAAACCCGAGGCUCAACCUCGGGCCUGCAGUGGGUACGGGCAGACUAGAGUGCGGUAGGGGAGAUUGGAAUUCCUGGUGUAGCGGUGGAAUGCGCAGAUAUCGGGAAGAACACCCGUGGCUAAGGCGGCUCUCUAGUACGGUACUGACGCUGAGACGCGAAAAGCGUGGGGAGCGAACAGGAUUGAGAAACCCUUGUA